rnacentral:SRP_RNA from 1 species
GCCAGACGUUUUGGCACGUGCGUCUGUAGUCCCUGCUACUGGGAAGGCUGAGGAGGGAGGAUCGCUUGAGCCCAGGAGUUCUGGGCUGUAGUGCACUAUGCCAACUGGGUGUCCGCACUAAGUUAGGCAUCAAUAUGGUGACCUCCUGGGAGCAGGGAACCACCAGGUUGCCUAAGAAGGGGUGAACUGGCCCAGGUCGAAAAUGGAGGUCAAAACUCCCGUGAUGAUCAGUAGUGGGAUCGUAACUCUGAAUAGCCACUGCACUCCAGCCUGGGCAACAUAGUGAGACCCAGUCUCU